UAAAAAUUCAUCUCUGAUGCUGCUGCCACC
rnacentral:piRNA from 1 species